GACGAACGCUGGCGGCGUGCUUAACACAUGCGAGUCGAACGAUGAAGCAGAGAAACGCGCACUUCGGUUCAACUUUCACUUCGGAUUAGUGGCAGACGGGUGAGUAACGCGUGAGCAACCUACCUCUUACAAAGGGAUAGCCUCGGGAAACCGUGAUUAAUACCAUAUGACACAUUCAUAAGGCAUCUUAAGAAUGUUAAAGCUACGGCGGUAAGAGAUGGGCUCGCGUCCCAUUAGCUAGUUGGUGAGGUAACGGCCCACCAAGGCGACGAUGGGUAACCGGCCUGAGAGGGUGAACGGUCACAUUGGAACUGAGACACGGUCCAAACUCCUACGGGAGGCAGCAGUGGGGAAUAUUGCACAAUGGAGGGAACUCUGAUGCAGCGACGCCGCGUGAGCGAUGAAGGAAUUCGUUGCGGAAAGCUCUGUUCUAGGGGAAGAAAAGGACUGUACCAUAGGAGAAAGCCCCGGCUAAAUACGUGC
rnacentral:rRNA from 1 species